UACGGAGGAUGCAAGCGUUAUCCGGAUUUAUUGGGUUUAAAGGGUGCGCAGGUUGUUUUAUAAGUCAGUGGUGAAAGUCUGCCGCUUAACGGAAGGAUUGCCAUUGAUACUAUAGGACUUGAGUAUGGAUGAGGUAGGCGGAAUGUGUAGGGUAGCGGUGAAAUGCAUAGAUAUUACACAGAACACCGAUUGCGGAGGCAGCUUACUAGGCCAUUACUGACGCUGAGGCACGAAAGCGUGGGGAUCAAACAGGAUUAGAUACCCUGGUAGUCCACGCCGUAAACGAUGAUCACUCGCUGUUCGCGAUAUACAGCAAGCGGCUGAGCGAAAGCAAUAAGUGAUCCACCAGGGGAGUACGAUCGCAAGGUUGAA
rnacentral:rRNA from 1 species